rnacentral:rRNA from 1 species
UARACUUAAAGAGCCGCAGUAUYUUGACUGUGCAAAGGUAGCAUAAUCAUUAGUUUUUUAAUUGGAAUCUUGUAUGAAUGGUUAGACAAAAGAAAAUUUGUCUCUGUAUUAAUUAAUGAAAUUAACUUUUAAGUGAAAAGGCUUAAGUAAAUUAAAAAGACGAUAAGACCCUAUAAAACAUUUUGUUGGGGCGGCAAGGAUAUAAUGUUUAACUGUAUAAAAAUUAAAACAAAUGUAAAUGAAUUGAUCCUAAAUAAAGAUUCUAAGUUUAAGUUACUUUAGGGAUAACAGCGUUAUUUUUUUUGAGAGUUCUUAUCGAAAAAAAAGUUUGCGACCUCGAUGUUGAAUUAAAAUAUUCUAUACAAUUGUAGAAGUUGUA